UAGAAUAUUUUUCCAUGGUUAUAUGAUUUGUUUUUUCCCUCCCCUUCAUUCUCCCCCCUCCCAGAGCCAAGGAGCAAUUCUACUUGGUUUUACAUUUCUCAUUGCUCAAAACCUAUUUCCAUAUUAUUAAUAUUUGCAACAAAGUGAUCAUUUAAAGUCAGCAUCCCCAAUCAUAUCCCCAUUGAACCAUGUGAUCAGACUUAUGUUUUUCUUCUGCGUUUCUACUCCCACAGAACAUGGAUCUAGGGUUAGAAGGGAUCCAAGAAGUCCCUGAGCCCAACCUCCUCAUUUCACGGAGGGCCAAACUGUGCCAUAUUCUAAUAUCAGGGUCCCAGAGGGAAAAAUGUCCCAAUUACUUUAUUUUAGGACCAAUUACUAUGUAUUUCUCUGUCAGACCCAGCUCUGAGAUUCCAUCUAGUCUAUGGUUUCUUGCAUUUCCUUGGUCCUUAAGUAUCCCAAAGAACUUUUUUUUUUUUGUCAACAGAAUUUGGUGACUGAGUGAAGGGGGCAAAGAGGAUUUUCAGGCCUGAGAGGGAACCUUCCCAAGUCCCCCUGUGUGUAACGGGGACAGGCUGAGAGUUGGCUAGACCAUCUCCUCAUCAGGCUUUCACCAGUUAGGGGUGUCUCAGGGUGCUCCAGGGAGGUACUGAAUAAUGAGCCCCUCAAACUCUGUUAAACUCCCUGAAUAGCUUCCAGAAGAGGUUGGCCCCAAGGAAAGGCAAUAACCAGCUUAUAUGGGGUUUGAUACAUGCUGAGCCUGUGGCUGAGGGGAGUGGAGAGAAGCAAGAGGCUGAACUGCAGACAACUGGCCAUCCUUGUUUAUAGACCAGAGGAGGAGGACCCAGACACCCCAAGUUUGGGGUAAAAAGGAGAUAUGAGUCAGAGAAGACUGUGGAGGGGGAGCAGGAGACAACGAUGGUGCUAGGAUCCAAGGCCAGGACCCAGCAGAGGAGGGAGAAGUGGAGGGGAAAUACGGGAUGGGCAGCAAGUGACUUGUGUGAAAGUAGGCAAGGAAUGGAGGAGGGGGAAGGAGGGUUUAACUCUGAGGCCUUUUUUACAGGCCCACUUCUACAUGGCAAAGCUUAAGAUUCCACCUCUCCAGUUUAAAUCAGAGACUACCUAGGUAGACUGCUCAUUUCUCUCUCUCAAAUAAAUAAUUGCGAAUUUAAUGUAAGUCUCCAAGAUGAAUUACAAUAAUAAUAAGGGGGAACAGGCUUCCCUGGACACCCCAAAUUUCUAAAGGCAUCCCAGGUCAAAGAGAACAUGAGGAAUUCUCCUGCAGUGCUGGCUGAAGGAAGCCAAUCUCAGAGCAGUAGAAGCUGUAUGACAGAAGGAGUUUCUGAGAGAUAAGACUCAAGCCUUUCCCCAACCUUUUGAUGGGCAUCAAAGGGAACUCUGUACCUGCCAAGCAGCCUCUUGCCCUCUGGAAGAUAUCAUCAACCAAAGUGGGAAAUUCUUCACUGCAUAAGGCACCAUUAAAGACUUUUUAGGUGUGACUCCUUGGAUAUCAUCCUAAACUUCCAGAAUUUGCCCCACAGGUGAACAAGAUGAAGUCUCUCCACCUUAGGGCUUCCACUCCCUCUAGGACCACAGUCUGGCCGAGGCAGAGACCCUGGAGCCAGAGGGAAUGGCCACUGGGACCCCGAGGCCCCCAUCCCCGGUGAGUGAAUUCCAUCUUCAGCCCUGGCCAAGCUCCCCCAAGGUAGAAUCCAGCUGAACCUCUGUCUUUCCCAGGCCUUUAGGGGUGCCAUCACUAUUUGCUGUCAGUGUGAGCUCAAAGGUCACAUACAAUACCGAACUGUGUGCUGGGGCUUUUCCAGGGCCUCUGUAGCUCCUGCCUGGAUGAGGUUCCAGAGAGACAGGAACAAGCACUGUCAUUUAUUCAUCCACCCUCCAGUGUGAUACCCUCUGUCAGUGGGGGAUGGCAGUGUGUUCCAGAAUUCCAGGGAUGGCACAAGGACUAUCUCUGCUCCUGACCUCCAGGAACCUGGGUAUGGAUAGGUCAGUCAGGCUUGUCAGGGAGGCUUCAGAAGAAUUUUGGGACAAGAUCAGGUGAUGGCACAGACAGGAAAAGGUAUGUUUUUAGCAGAAGAAAAAGGAUGGUAAUUCCAGGGGAGGGCUAAAAGGUCUGCUUUUCAAAUAUUAAAAUAUCAGUGCACUUAACAUACAGAAACUUUAGGUCUUUCCUUUUCCUAGGAAAAUCAUUUAUCUUGAACCUAAAAGGAUUAUCUAAGCUAUGGCUUUCUCAAUAGUUUUCAUUUUGGUUCUUUUAUUUUUUAACUUUUUUUUUUAAUUUUGACUAUUUUUCCAUGGUUACAUGCUUCAUGUUCCCUCCUUACCCUCUUCCCUGCUCCCUUCCAGAGCUGACAAGCAGUUCUACUGGUUUAGCCAUGUAUUAUUGCUCAAAACCUAAUUCCAUAUUACUCAUAUUUGUAAUAGAGUGAUCUUUCAAAACCAAAACCCCCAAUCAUAUACUCAUAGAACCAUGUGAUAAAUCAUAUGUUUUUCUUCUAAGUUUCUACUCCCACAGUUCUUCCUCUGGAUGUGGAUAGCAUUCUUUCUCUCACAAGUCCUUCAGGAUUGUCCUGGAUCAUUGCAUUACUACUAGUAGAAAAAUCUAUUACAUUUCAUUGUCCCACAGUGUUUCAGUUACGGUGGAUGAUGUACAACACUGAACUUGAGGAUCUUGUGCAAUUUUUUCUCCCUUCUUUCUUUUUUCUAGGGACUAUUUAAAGGAUUAUUUGCCUUAGACAUAAAAACUGAAUCUUCCUGUUAAGACAGGCUCAGACCUUUGACACAUAGAAAAAAUUGAAUAAGAUAAUGGAGCUGUGGGGCUUGUUCGGUUCUCAUUUCAAAUAAUUCUGCCCUGGAUUUUAACUCUUAUUCGUGGCUUAAUAACUUUAAGUGAAGUUCUUAAUAAAAACAGUUGUUUCCUGUCUCAAAAAUUUGUUUCCAACUUCUCACUUCAGUAACCUAGAUUUCUUUAACAUUUCCUUCUUGCUCUUUAAGACACUGAUUUAGAGAUGUAUAUACAACAUAUUUAUAAUAUUACUGCAUCAUAAAACUAGCUUACGCUUUAAAAUUUUUUGAAGGCUAUUUUAUCAAAUGAACAACUUUAGACUUCCCUAAAAAGCAAAUUCUUUCUAGAGUUUGUGAAUAGCAAACACUGAACCCACUUGGAUAAGGUCCUCCAAACCUCCUACACAAAUUUUCUCUUCUGAGAAGGAAUAGAAAGCACCCAGGUAUAGAUAAAGUCCAUCCAACUAUGGGGAAGACACAAGUUGACCAAAUUUAACUCUGGUGGAGAUAUAAGAUUACCCCUGUGGCCUUCUUUCUUUGAACCUGCAUGUGGCUCACUAGACAUUUUAAAGAAAAGGAUAGUAACAACAAUAUACACCAAUAUGACAGAAGUUGACCCAAAAUAGCCUAUGAAAAAAUCACCCCUAACAACAUGGGGCACACCUCAGUUUAUAGUGGGUUCGUUAAUGAGGUGGACUCAGAAAACAUAGUCCCCCUAAAAGAAAAGCUCCUGAGAAUCCUCAGAACUUUUUCCUAAGGGAUCUCAGAAUCCUGACAUAUCACAUCAUAGUGAUAAACUGCAAGAAAUAAAGAAAUUCCAGGCUAAAGAUCCAAACUUUUAAUUGUGAUAAAUGAAAGCUAGAGAUAGCACCUCACCCAGCCUGGAGCAAAGGUUCCAUAUAGACAUACAACAGUAUAUUUUACAGAUUUUUCACAGAUAUGAUGGGAGGUCCUAGGUUCAAAUGUGACCCAGACACUUCCCAGCUGUGUGACCCUGGACAAGUAACUUGACCCCCAUUGCCUAUCCCUUACCACUCUUCUGCCUUGGAGCCAAUACACAGUAUUGACACUGUAAACCUCAAAAUUUCUUAGACUUAUAAAUGUUGGAAUCUCAGAGCACACUGCAACCACUCUGACAAACUCCUAAAACCACCAACCUGAGUCUUCAGACCCCUCUCUCUUUAAGGAAACCAUCCAAGUUGCCUCCCCUCAGUUCUCACAUCUACCAAUCACUGUCCAUCAAUUUCCCUGUGCCAAUGGAGGCUCUAGCUUAACCCAGGACCACCCAGAGGUCUCUGGCUUUGCACAUGUCUGUUGAAGGUCAUAUUUUCAAAUAAUUAAAUUUUGAUCUAUGCUGCAGCCCUUCCUCAAUCCUGUUAGGACUGAGUAGGGUGGAGAUUGAUUCCAAGUAUCUCCAUUGUAUCAAUUCCAAAAUCAAUCAUGACUCAAAGAAAUUCCUGUUCUAUGCUUAAGCAUAGGUCAAAGUCCUUUCCAUUGUUCAGCAAAAGGUUUCUGUCCUAAAGUAAUCUUAAGAAGGGAGGAGGGGGAAACUCUCAUGCCAAUGGGGUUCACAUUCCAAUAGCCAAGACCCACUAUCAAUAGGAAAUUUUUCAAGUAUGAAAUUUCCCAAUGGUGAAAUUUCCAACAUUUAUAAGUCUAAGAAAUUUUGAGGUUUACAACACCAAGAUGAAAGGUAAGGGUUUAAAAAAAAAAGUAGAAUAAAAUUAUAUACCUGAUAGAAAACAAACAGAAGAAGAAGCAAACAAUGUAAUGAUCCUACCACACUUUCCUUUCUCUGACUUAUAUCUUCUCACAAACUAGAUUGUCAAUUAACAAAAUAUAUACAAGCUUUACAAACAAGAAUAGCAGAGUUGCAUGAAAUGGGCUUGAUGCAACAAACAGUACCCCUGGAUUACAAUUUGCACACCAUCAAACCAGGAGACAUAGUAAACUUAAAAAAUUUCAAUAGAAAAUUGGCUACAGAUAUAAAAUGGACUGGACCACAUGAAGUAUUGCUUACUACCCCAACAGCUAUAAAAUUGCAUGGAAAGACUCAUGGUUCCACUGUUCCCAUGUAAAACCAGAAAAAUAGUGACACAUAGUGUUUGAGACAACAAGAUCCUAGCAGUUAAGCAUGCCAUAGUGGGAAGAUAACUUUCCAGCCCAGAGGAAAAGCAUCCCAGAGGAAAAGAUUUUAAACCAGCCCAGAGUAAAAGCAUCAAGAAAAGCUGCUAGAGAGAAGAAACAAAGAAAGGGAGAAAAAAAAGCUGAAAUGGACAGCUAAGACUUUGAACUUUGUAAAUUUGUUUAUAUAAGAAGAGGACAGAUGGGAAAUGAGACUUAUGUGUAAGACAGAAUGUGUUGAAAUAAUAAAACAAAAGUAAUUUCACAUAUUAAGGAAAUAGCAUGCAUCACUACAUAUCUUGGAAGAAAGAAGAGAUCCAUCAGUCAACAUGAGAAGUGGAAAUCUGAAGAAACUUGAUAAGUAUUAAUUCAACACAACACUAUUAGACACAAAGCACAAAAUCACAAACUGACAUAUUGGGAGAUCUUGUUUAAAUAAAGAAGUGUCUGAAAUUGUGUUUGUGCAAAAUGUAAAUAUGCAUAUAGUUAGUUCCAUAAGGUCUUAGGCAAAUAGAAAGAUCAAUAGAUAGUUCUAUUUGACUGACAUCAAGAUUAGGGAACUAUGUAUAUUAUUGUAUUAUGUAAAUAGUCUCUAUAAAUAAUAUAUAUACUAUAAUUAGGUUAGUAACAUAGUGGUAGAGUCUGUAAAUAUUUAGCAUAGCAUGUAUAUAUGUUGUACAUAAGAUUAGGUUAUAGAUUAUAGUAGAGACUGUGACCUUGAAAAUAUGGUUUCAAAUCAAAAAUAUAGUGGUCGCCAUGGGAAAAUUCCCAAAUAUUAAAUAUACCCAAGUUAGCUGGGUUUUAUAGAGAUUUUAAUUAAUACAAAUGAGGAAUUAAGGAAAGGGAGAGAGAAUAAGAGAGGAAUAAGUAUGAAGGGCCUUAGCCAACAUGGCCUAAGCCUGAGCCUUAAGAGAGAGAUCAGUCAGUCUUUAAUCACUCACCACAAGAUCCUUCCCAAGCAAGAUUCUAGUGUUCAGAGAAACCCACCAGUUCAGCUCCUCAGCUUAACUAAGUUCAGCCAUCAAGCCCUCCACUUCAGCUUUGGCAAGCUGAGUCCUCCCAGAGGCCUAAACCUCUUCCUUUUAAAGAAAAUUUUCUCCUAUGUCACCUCCCCUAAGUUUUCACAUCUACCAAUUCACAGUAGACUUUUUCACAGGACUGACCAUUCUUAAUUCACACCUGAGUAGACUAAACUUUUGAGUAAUUCACACCAGAGUAGACUAAAACCUCACACCUCUUGCUAAGCUUGCUUGACCUUUUAGUGAUUAAUUUGACCUUCAUAGGUACUUAGCACCUUUUUGUAUUAGAUCUAAAAAUAGACUUAGCUUAAGGUUUUUUAGCUUUACUUUAAGUAUGGAUUAAGUACUUUUCAUUGUUCAUUAAAGAAUUUACUUUAUCUUCCCCUAAAGUAUGCUUAAGUAUGGGUGGAGUAGAGUUCUCACAUUCCUGAUCAAGUACCUUCAUUGUUUAAAAUGGGGAAUGGUCUUAACCAAGUGUUUUGAAGUAGGGUCUGAGAAUUUUUAAGAUUCACAAGACUUAGAUAAUAGUUAUAGUAAGUAGGGAAUAGAUUAGGAGUAAGUUAAAUAUAACGUAGACAGUUAUACUUAGGAAUAGACUUAAGCUGUAUUUGCAGAUAGUUUUAAUUGUUUAUUAUAAAGUUGAUGCUGAAAUUAUAUUUAAUGGAAAUGUAUAUAGAUAAAAUAGUUUGCAAAUAAUAAUAGAUAUAUAAAAUAGGAAAACUGUUUUAGUUUAACUUAGCAAGAGUAAGUAGUAUUAGCACCGAUUCAAAUUUCUUUGUAAUGGUUUUGUUCAAACAUUUAUUGUACUGAAUUUAUUGUAAAACUCUAAAACUACCCUUACCCAAACUUUCCUGCAUAGAAUUCCUUAGAGUAGAUUAGAAUAGCAUAGAAUAGUAGAAGUUAGCAUAGAAUAGUGAUAUAGUAAUUGAGGGAAGUUUAUUAUUUUGGGGGAACUAAUUAGAAAUUAGAUUUAGUAGUUUGGUAAGUAUAAUAAAAAUAAGUGACCUUAGGAAGGUCACAACAAAAAAAGGGGAUAGUUGUGGAAAGGAAAAUGAAAACAAGUUCUGGACUUUCUGCCACUGAGUUGGAACAAACAGCAGGUGGAAUGCUAGAGAGAAGAAAUUGACAAGACUGACGGUUGGGGAAGGGGCAACUGGUAGUGGCAGUUGGUCUUGUGAUGAGCACUUUCUUCUUGGCCUUGGAAGUGGAAAAAACUCUCCCUGUCUCUGAUUAGUAGUGCCUCUAUUUUCCUGAUUUUCCCAAUUGUGUACUCUCCCUGGAUUCUUGUGAUUGUGUCAUCGACAAAAGGAUUUAAGGGAAGCAGUUUGGACUGUAAGGCCAGUCUUCAGGAGCUUCAGCCCAAAGAGACAGGCCCACCAGCUCUGAAGGUCAGAACUUUCUUCCUCUUGCUGUCUUCUGCUAAGACUUUGAAAUUAAGAAAAUUAGCACAGAUUAGCAUAGACAGGAAUAAGAGAAACUGACCACCAGCCUGUGAGGGCUGGCCUCAGCUCAAAAGCUGAGAGACUCAAACCUCAUCUAGGGAAUCCCUCUUCCCUGAUACCCUCCAUAAUCCAAACUUGUUAUUAAAAGUUAUCUUUAUUUGAAUAUUGCAGUCAGAUCAGAGGACUAUCUUCAGGGGACUUAGAGGGAGCUGAACCUCAGGAGAGCCAUUCAACCAAAAACAGUCCUUAUUGGAUCCCUGCUGGAUGACCUUGGUCUGGGGGAGGCUUGUCCCUCAGGAGAGUCCAUGCUUACCUGCUCUGGGGCAUCUUCGGCAUCAAUCCAUAGAGAAAAUAUCCCUGCAGGCUAUCAUAAGUGGCCCAUUUUUGGGGAACCCACUUUUUUUUAAAAAAAUACUGUCUCAGCAGGGGGCAUCUCCUUUUGCCUCACUGGCAGCCAUAUUUCCUCUCUCCCUUCAACUACUCCAUUCCCUGCUACAAACCUACCGUAUCCCCUGUUCUUCACAUCCCACCCAUUUUCCCAGUAAAUAUUACAAUUGUAUUUAAGUGGCUGUAACUCCUCCUUUGGCCUCUUUUAUUUUUUGACUUGUGACCCAGUUGAAUUCAGGUAGUUCUUUUCCUCUAGUUAUUAUUAAUAACUUUAAAAAUAUAAUAGUUAUUGAAUAUUAAUUUUAAAACUCACAUUUUGGCUUGCCAUAAAGGGAUUACACAGAUGAUGAUGGAUGGACUUCAUCAAAAGCUAUAUACAACCUUUAGAGAAUUUAAUAAGCUAAGAAUUUAAUCAUAAUUUUAAAGAGUCUUCAGAAAUAAUUUUACAUAACUAGUAGUUUCUGAAUAAAUGAUAUUUUAUAUUUAUAUUAAAAGAAUGUUGUAUUAAAGGUAGAGAAACAAAGAAAUGUUCCUACCAAGGUGUUUCUAUGUAGUAGGAAGUCAAAAAAAGAGCUCAUGCAAAACUCUUCGUUUUAAUUUACUUCCACCAGAACAAUCUAGAUUUCUUGAUGAUAUUCUAGACCCAAAUAAGUUUUACUUUGUUUAAAAAUAUGUUUGCUAAGGUUGAAAAAUUUGCUACAUCUUUAAAAAUUGUGACAAAUAUCCAUCAUUUCAUAGGGUUUUUUUUAUGUCAUACAGCAACUUAUGUGAAAUGUGAUAGUGGGUUUGUUUGCUAUUGUAAUUAACUGGGCUAUUGUGAAUUUUGGGAACUUUGGUACUUCUUUGAAUAUGCAUUAUCUACUAUAAUACUAUUUUAUUCUGAAAAUCAUUUGUACUCACACAUGGCUAACACAGUGUCACUGAUUGUAAGCUUUUUAUUUUUUAAAACUUUUUUAUUAUUGUUUUUCCUUGCAUGUGCAAUAUAAUUAUUUGAGUUUUAUUUUUUCUCUCCUUUUUGUAUUUGAAAAACGUCGACAGUAUUGAGAGUUUUCUUUAAUUUUUUUAUUUUGUAGUAAUAUAAGCUUAAAAUACAUAAAAUAAGCUUAAAAUGUCAAUGCAUACCCAGAAAACUUUAGACUAUAAAAACGAUUCUAUUGAUUGUUUCAAAGAAUUAUGGGACAUGAUUCUGUCUGAUUCCAGAAGAAGGGAAUAUACAAAAGAGCCACUGUGCAGUGCUAAAGAAGCCCAGAGUACCUGCAUAGUGCCUAUGGACCUCAAGGUCAAAGAGACCAGAUCCCAGUGGGAUUGAUGUAAUUUUGAGCCAAGACAGGAGGACUUGAACUUAUUUGGGAUUCAAGGUUGUGACUGUUUUGACAUAUGUGAGAGGCUGAACUUCCUCUAAGCCACAUUCUAUCAAGCUCCUCUUUUUCACUGCCAUCCUGGCUCCCACUUGCUGCUGAAAUCUAGUCCCUUUUCUGUAUUUCAUAGUGUGGCAAACUUUCUAUAGUCCUGCCUACUGAUUGGGUAGUGCAUAAUUUCUUAAAUCAUUUUAAUUGGGCCCUGAUUCAAGGACCUGUUAUAGGUUUAUUUUUUCCUUUACUUAGAUUUUUUUAGACAUAAGACUUUUACAUUUUGUAUUGUAUCCACAAGUUAUUUUUCUCUUUUAUUUGGAUACAAUAAUUUUAGGAUAAAAAACUUGCUACCUCCCAGAAUCCAGAAUGUGCCAUGAAGAUAGAUGCCUGCAGAGAUCAUAUGCUGCACCAAAAGAUCCAGAGUGAAUUUUGGGGUGUGAAUUGAACUAUUAGGGGUUGAAAUGCCUUUGUUUUGAAUGUAUACUCUUAUGCCAAAGGGGUCUGCCCCCAAAUUGGCUUUUUGUCAACCUAGGAAUCAUUGGUUUUAUUCUCUUUUCCUUUUAUCAACAAAUUAUUGCAAUUUUUAAGUUGAUUAUGUUUCCAUGAUCCUUUUGGGGAAACUGGUUUCCCAGAAGUAUCACAGGGAGGGGUAUGUAUAAAUGGAGAUUUUGAGACUUUGUACUUCAUCCCCCAAAAGUCCCUUAGUACUUCCCAAAAUUCUCCUUUCCAGCAUUCCCAUGUUUUAUGUGAUUGUAUUUAAGUGACUAUAACUCCUCCCUUGGCCUCUUUUUGACUUGUGACCAGGCUGAACUCAGGUAUUUCUUUUGCUCUAGUUAUUAUUAAUGAAAGUUUAAAAAUAUAAUAGUUAUUGAUUGUUAAUUUUAAAACUCACACUGCUAGAUGUAAAGUAGUACCUCAGAAUUUUUUGAUUUGUAUUUCUUUAAUCAGAUGGGAUUUAGAACAUUUUCUUAAUGUGAUUAUGUGAUUGAUGAGAUCUAAUCACUCAAAUUUAUAAGGAAAUAAAUCAAUUUUACAAAAAAUCAAGCUAUUCCCCAGUUGAUAAAUGCACAAGGGACAUGAAUAUGCAAUUUUCAGAUAAAGAAAUCAAAACUAUUAACAAGUACAUGAAAAAGUGUUCUAAAUCUCUUAUAAUCAGAGAAAUGCAAAUCAAAACAACUCUAAGGUAUCUCCUCACACCUAGCAGAUUGAAUAACAUGACAGCAAUGAAAAGCAAUGAAUGUUGGAAGGGAUGUGGCAAAAUUGGUACAUUAAUGCAUUGCUGGUAAAGUUGUGAACUGAUCUAACCAUUCUGGAAGGCAAUUUGAAACUAUGCUCAAAGGGCUCUAAAAGACUGUCUGCCCUUUGAUCCUGCCAUAGCACUGAUGGGUUUGUACUUCAAAGAGAUAAUAAGGAAAGAGAUUUGUACAAGAAUAUUCAUAGCCAUGUAGUUUGUGGUGGCAAAAAAAAUUGGAAAAUGAGGGGAUUCCCUCCAAUUGGGGAAUGGCUUAACAAGUUGUGGUAUAUGCUGGUAUAUUGUGCUCAAAGGAAUAAUAGAGUGGAGGAAUUCCAUGUGAACUGGAACAACCUUCAGGAAUUGAUGCAGAGUGAAAGGAGCAGAACCAGGAGAACAUUGUACACAGAGACUGAUACACUGUGGUAAAAUCAAAUGUAAUGGACUUCUCUACUAGCAGCAAUGCAAUGAUCCAAGAUUAUUCUGAGGGACAUAUGAGAAAGAACACUAUCCACAUCCAGAGGAAAAAUUGUGGGAGCAGAAACACUGAAGAAAAACAACUGCUUGAUCACAUGGGUUGGUGGGGCUAUGACUGGGAAAGUAGACUCUAAAUGAUCACCCUAGUGCAAAUAUUAAUAAUAAGGAAAUGGGUCUUGAUCGAUACCACAUGUUAAACCCAGUGGAAUUGUGCAUCAGAUAUGGGAGGGGUUGGGGAGAGGAAAAGGAAGGAACAUGAGUCUUGAAACCAUGGAAAACUAUUCUAAAUCAUCUAAUUAAAUAAAAUUUAAAAUAAUAUUUUAAAAAAGAUAAUUUCCUGUAGUAUGCUGUCUAAACUUAUAUUUUUUUUGUCAUGAUUUUCAGAUAAUCCAAUAAUUCUUAAAUUGUCUUUCCUGGAUCUAUUUUCCAGGUCAGUUAUUUUCUCAGUGAGGUGUCUCAUAUUAUCUUCAAUUUUUUUCAUUCUUUUGAUUUUUUUAAUAUGUCUUGAUAUCUUGUAAAGUCAUUAGCUUUUAUUUGCCCAAUUCUAAUCUUUUUUAAACCCUUACCUUCUGUCUUGGAAUCAAUACUGUGUAUUGGUUCCAAGGCAGAAGAGUGGUAAGGGCUAGGCAAUGGGAGUCAAGUGACUUGCCCAGGGUCACACAGCUGGGAAGUGUCUGAGGCCAGAUUUAAACCUAGGACCUCCUGUCUCUAGGCCUAGCUCUCAAUUCACUGAGCCACCCAGCUGCACUCCCCCCCAGUCUAAUUUUUAAAGACUGAAUUUCUUCCAUGACCUUUUGAUUCUCCCUUUCCUUUUGGCCCAUUCUUCUUUUCAAGUCAUUCCUCUCCCAAUUUUUUUUGCAUCAUUUCCCAAUGUCUGUUCCUCUGUUUCCGGGUGACCUAUUUUGCUUUUCAGGCUACUAUUUUCCUCUUGCCAUUUUUUUUAAUCUCUCUUAUUUGAUUUUUAAUUUUUUUAAACUCCUCCAUAGCCAGCAUCUAAUUCAAUGUUUUUUGUUUUUUGGUUUUUUUUGAGGCUUUGCUUGAUGUUUCCUGGAUCUCAUCCUUAUCCAUUGGUUCUGUUCUUUGGUCCUUACCCCCUGUAAUAGCAAGGGUGAUUUUGAAAAGGAAGGAACCACUGAACAGCUGUUUGGGGAUUGAAUUCUAUGUGACACUUCCUCCCCCAUCCCUAAGCUGACCAAUGGAGUCAGUCAGAAUAGACUAAAGAGUAAGUUUGUUCCCCUCAGCCUCCUUCUUAACUGAUGGGUUGAAAUUCCCCUCCUAACACAUAGACUCUGAAUCAAGUUCUAGUAUACCUCAAGAUAUCUAGUUUAUUUGGGUAUAAGGUUGUUGAAAGAAUAAGGAAAGGAAAGGACAGAGGGUAGAGGAAGUCCCUAAAUUUUUCUUUCCUAUAUAGUUUUUUGAGAGUUUGGCCAAGGAAAUCUUUUCAGGAAUAAGCUUUGGGUUCUGUAGUAGAGGCAUGAAGAAAGAAGACUUACAAGAUAAGCCAAGCAUGCAAGAAACCAAGCUGGGGACAUGAUCUGCAAAAUCAAGGUAAAGAUUCCAAACAGAACCUUCCCAGGAAGAAGCAGUUGAAGCUGGCAAGGGGGAGAAACUGUUUUGCUCUCUCUAGUUAACUGAACAAGAAAGGAGAGAAACCUCUGCUCUUCUCUCUUUGGGGGUCCCUGAUCAAUAGAGACUGGCUUUUCCUGAUUUAGGCAGAGAGAGAGAGAUCUUUGUGAUUUUUGACAGAGUCUGGAUUUGAGUUACUCAAGCAGAGAUUAUCUGACUGAAGAAAGAAGAAAAGAAUAACAGUGGUCCUCCAUCUCUCUAACUGUCCCUCUGUCACAGUUGUUACUGGACUGAUUUCCCAAAUUCCUCCUAUUCUUCAUUAUAGAUUAGGGAAACCCUCAUCCCUCUUACCUCAGUUUCUCAUCCUGUUUCCCAAUAAACCCCCUGACUUGAAAAAGGAAAAGAAAAGAGUAUCUUUAUAAUCCACUCAGUGGGGAGGGGCGAAGCCACAAGUUUCAAAAGAAACUGGGAGGGAGAGGCUGGAAGAAGGGAGGGGUUGAGGGAGUGUGUGGGAUCUGGGAAUGAAGGGAGGAGGUUAGGAAAUAGAUUGAUCCAUCAGCUGUCAAUACAGAUUAUAGGCAAACCCCAGAGCAUUCCCCUGUAGCAGUAUCUCUCUCACUAUCUCUAUAUCUGAAGUAGUACCUCUAUCUCCAUUACAACCAAGCAUCCUUAGGCUCCCCUAGCAUCUCCAUAGUAACUCUCUAGUCUGCCAGAGUAUAGUCAUUUACCGAAACCAGAUUAUAAUAGUUUCCACAAGUUAUCAUUUUAUUACAGUUCCCUUAAGGGAAAAAGAGAGUCUUUAUCCCAAAGACUGGCUUCAGUUGAGAAUUGAUAUCUUCUUCCAUUCAAGCAAAGGAUUUUGAGGUUUGUAGUUCCUCCACCCAACUCCACAGAGUCCCAGAUAAGAACAACUUUGGGUCUCUUCCUCCAACUGCUUUUGAACAUGGAUGGAACUCCAUCCCAUCCCCCAAGGUCUUAUGAAGGUUCCAUUUGCUCCUCUUCUCAGCAUCUCUUCAAACUUCAAAUUUCUCUUUGCUCCUGGUCAUCCCCUUGUUCACACCCCCAUUGAAGUUUACAAUUGUAGCCUUUUUCCCCCCUCUCAUUUUCUCAUUUUACUUACCUUUUUCUUGCCCUAUGGACUAUAUAGAUUUGCCCCUCUGCUGAUUUACUGAAGCAGAGUGUUUGAGCUGUUAAGCCCUGAGACUGAAUCUUCUUUUUUUUUUCCAUUCCCUGCUAUUAUACUGGAUUUAGCUGGUUGAGCUAACCUGCUGAGCUGGCCUACCCUGGAGCAAAAUUUUCACUGUAACAAGCAGGCUGAGGGUGCCCAGCCUGUUGGACCCCUCUAGUUCCUCCCUAACAGUCCUUACCAGAGCUCUGGACCCACGUGGUGGGUCAGAUGUGAACCCUAGAGACUAUGGUCUCUGCCCAUGGUGCUCACAUUCAGCUCAGUCUUAUUGUAGGUCUCAGGGCUGUGUGGGGCAGGGGGUUUACCCAGCCUGUGUCUCCCUUUUCCUGUGAAAAUAGAUACACUGUGCCUACCUUUCAAGUUGUUUUCAGUAGGAGAAUCUCGUGACUUCUUGUUGAGUUUGGAUGUCUAUUUUCUUUGAAAUGAGAAAUAAAUAUUGGUUUGUGUAAUGGAAGAGAUGAAAGGAGGGAGAAAGGGGAGGUUCAAGGAGGAUUUACUCUCCUCCAUUACAGAGAGGGGAGAUGUAAACUAGGCACUGUCUUCACAGAGGGGGAUGUGAACAAUGGAGGCCAGGAGACAGGAGAAAGGGUCACUCAAAGAAGUAACACUGUGCUUCCCUCAGAGGAGUUAAGGCCCUUAAGGUCAUAAUUGUAUUUGUGGGACAAAAUGACCCUUUUGUGGUGUUCACUUCCCUGGGGGCAUCAACAGUCAGCCCCAAGGGUUUAGAUAUGGCUAGCUGCCAAGGAAAGAGUGAUGGCUUCCUUGGUCAUAAAGGCAGAGGUUGGACUCAACCUCUGUCUCUGUGAAAGCCUAGUCUCCCUACUUGAUUCCUAAGAUAAACCUGAGCCUAGAGUCUAAAUAUCUUCAAUAGUCCAUUGAGGUUGUAUGGGGCAAGUGAUGGUAAAGGUGUGAGGAGAAAAGGAAAGAGGUGAAAGGGGAGCCCCAAACGCACCCCCCCCCCUUGUAGAUUAGCUUUCAAAGUCUGGAGACCAGAGGUCAUGGUGCCUUGGCCUCCUUCUUCACUAUCUGCUUCUUUUCUUAUACUUAAGCUUAGCUAAAUCCUAAAUCUAGUUCAAAGAGGUAUAUCAAGGAAGUUUUAUCCCCUCCCCCUCCUGAGUAGCCUGUCCAUCAAACAUUCCUGAGAUAGCACAGUUGCACCAGGUUUUGCCUCCAUCAAUGUGGGGUGGGUCAACAUAGGUGAAGGUUUGUAGAGAAUUGGGGGAGAAUGGAGAAGAGAACAGAGGAGGCAGGUGGGGGGGGGAAGAGGGAAAAGACUGGAAGGCUAGGCACUGUAAUAGAUGAUAUUUGAGGGUGUAUAUUUGAUGGUAUGUUGGAUAACUAGUGGAUCAAGUUUUGCCUACCCUCCUCCCAUUUUCCUCCCUCUUUGGAAACCUUUCAGCUUCCCCUCCCCCUUUCUUCAGUCUCCCUCAAAUCACUCAGUAUGAGCUAUGAGAUUGCAAUGAAAUAGUUCUUAAUCUUUGUCAAACAAGGGGUUUAUUUGGGGAAGACAGGAUAAGGUUGGAGGAUAAGGUAAGAGGAGUAGGAUUUCCUUAUCUACAAUGAGUGUUGAUUUGGAGGAUAUUGAGGGAAAUGGAAAUUCUGUCACAAGCAUGAAAUAGAGUCAGUCAGAGAGAUAUAUAAGAACCGCUGUCCUUCUUUCUUUUCCCUUCUAAUUAGCCAGGUCACCUCCAACUUGAUUAUCACAAGUCCCAAAGAUACAACUAGCUUCUUCCUCCACAUCAGCUAGAAGCUAAAAGCCUUUUUGCCCAGUCCAGCAGUUGGCUUGGCUCCAACUGCUUUUCCCAGUAAUAUUCCAAAUGGAAUCUUCAUUUGACUGACAGAUGACCCAUCUCUAGCUUCUUGUCUUGCUGCAUUUUCUUAUAAUUUCUCUCUUCUCCACAGCACCACGUGGUCAGGUUACUUAUAGGAAUGCUUGUCUACUGUAAAAUUGAGAUUUGAACUCUGGACUUGCAAUCCCCACAAGCCCUUGCUCCACUUCCCCAAAAUGCUUUGUAAUCUCACAGGAAUUCUGAGGUGGGCUGAGAUCGAGAAAGGAUUUAACCUGAUUGCAAAGGAUUUUGUGUUUCUUUUGGACUUCCAUCUUGGGGCAGACGUGGCUCUUUCCAUAAUGUAGGUGAGGUCUUGUCUAGGCCUCUCUGGCCUAGGCACGUUUUCCUUAUCCUGUAUUUUCUUUAAUCCUUAAUCUUCAAUAAACCUUUAAAAAUAUAAUACUCCUUGCAGAGAGAAACUAAUUUCUACCUGCCUCAGUCUCCCCUAAAUUUUAAUCUUUACAGUUUGGUGUAACCACUUCGGGCAAACAAAAUAUCUCAAUCUUCUGAUUUAAUCUUUAAUAGCUAGUGCCUAGAAUUUUUUUUAAGCCACGUUUCUACAAGAUGCUUUUUAGAAAACUAUCUUGAUCAUCUCUUGCCUGCGGCCCUCUCCUGCUCCUGUAGCCUCUCACCUUGUGCCCGAGCUCCCGGCCCUGCUUGUCUUUUUUUUACCCUCGCAAAGCUGUUGAUCAGCUCCUGCCUGCCUGCCGACGCCAUCCGAUUCGGACAGCUGCUUCUCCCGGCCCCAAUUGGCCCUGCUUGUCUGCGCUCCGGCUCUGGCCCUGGCCCAGCGGAGUUUCUCUCACUCACCUGGCCCACCUGAUUCAACUAAGAUUGCAAUCAACUGGUGACCUGCAUGCCCAACAAACCCAGAUCCUUGGUAGGUAACAAAAUGGGGGGGAGUAUUGGCUCCACGUGGGCAGCCUGGGCUCCACGUGGACUGGGGCAGGAGGAGGUAUCAGAGCAGGGGAGAGAGAAAAAGAGAGAGAAGAAACAGACUUUUCAAGCAGGAACCUUAAUAGCAAUGGGCUGUUUUAAAAGAAUACCUUUUGACUGUUCUGGUAAUUUCAUUGAUUUCACCUGUGUGCCAGAAGAAAGAUUCAGCCCAAAGAUUCAACUUUGGGGAGGCAAAUGGGUGGCUCAGCGAACUGGGAGCCAGACCUAAAGACAUGCGGUCCUGGGUUAAAAUCUGGCCUCAGAUACUUCCCAGCUGUGGGGCCCUGGACGGGUCCCUUGAACCCCAUUGCCUAGCCCUUACCACUCUGCCUUUGGACAAUAGACAUUUAAAUGGAUAAUUAAUUAAAAGAAAAAAACACACCCAAAGAAUUUCAAAGAGACUAAAGGAUAUGUUUUAAGGCAUUUCAGACUCCAAUGGUUCAUAAAAAUCUCUGUAUUCUAUUGCAUUUUUUGUUUUAAUGUUUAACUUUGUGAUUUUAAGUUCAUAUAUUACUAGAUUCAAUAUUAUUCUGCUUGAACUGAAGGUUGAUUGAAUUUAUUUUGAAUGUACUUAGUUUUAAAAAUUCUGUUGUUUUUCCCCUAUAACUGUGCUAAAAAAUAUUAUUUAAUAAGCCCAUAUAUGAAAAAACAGCUUUUUUCUAUUUUGCCAAGGAUAGAUGGACUUCAGAACUGGUUACAAUUGUAUAAAACCUUUGGAAAAAUUAAUGUGCUAAAUAUCUCAAAUGAUUUUAAGGGUUUUUUAAAUAUGAUUUUU